UGCUAAAGAGAGAGAAUUCGUUGGACUCU
rnacentral:piRNA from 1 species